CUAGAGCUGAACUAAAACCACAGACAAUUCAGAAGAGGGUUCUUUUUAAGAAAACGGUGAAAGAAAAGAAUUUGCAAGCCCGCCAGAUGAUGCAAAUGUAAGGCAAGGACCUUGAAAACCAAAUUCUAGAAGAUAGCAAGAAGACACAAGUGUAAGAAAAAAGAAAAGACAAGUGACCGAGACUGAUGCAUUAGUAUAGAACUGGUAAGAAGACAUUGGUUUCCCGAAGGAGAUGGUUAUUCCAGUGGUUCUCACCCCAAGCUGAAGACCCUCUGUUGGAUUGGGAAGACAUCUACCACUUCUCCAACCUGCACAGAACCAGAUCUGCUGACUUGCUUCUCCCGACUCUUUUAGCCACACCAGGCUCUUUCUCCUAAGGAUAUAAAUAAAAAUGGAUUUUCCACUGGAAACAGGUCAAAUGACUUAAUACAGCCAUAGACAAUUCAGAGGGACCUGGUAAAUCCUAAAUGAGUCAUGCUUCAUUUGAAUAACAAACCAGAGGGACGCUCAAUCCUGCAGCAGAAAGAAAUAGAAUUGUACAGUUGGAGGGAACUUGAUAA